rnacentral:rRNA from 1 species
AGUUUUUACGUUUGGAAUUUAAUUUAUAAAAUGUUGAAGUAUCGUUUGAAUUUGUAGAUGGAUCGAAUGUUAUUUAGAAGAGUAAGUACUGUGAAGGAAAAUGAAAACUAUGUCUAAGCCGAUUUGAUUCGUACCUUUUGCAUCAUGGCCUGGCUAGAUGAGGCAAUAAAGCGUAUUCCAGAUACAUGGCGGGCGACCUAUUUUCGGUUUAUAGACUAGGGGUCUAGAUGUUGCAAAAUCUUUCCUCGAAGAAUAGGUAGUUACAAUAUAUUACCCGCGCUGUGUGAUAGCUGGUUCCCUAAGAAACGCAUAGAAGUGCUACCUGUAAUGAGAUCGGCCCCACAGAUGGUAUUUGUGCGGGGCUGCGUUAUGGAGACGGCUAGUUAGAGAUAAGUCUGAUUAGGUGGUGGGUGAAAAUAAAGUUAAAUAGCUGGUAUUUAGGCUUUAAAUUGGUCAAGAUAGUGAAACUUGUUAUAAGGUACUUGAUUUAUUGGUAGUAAAAGAUUUAUAUUUUACACCUAAUUUUAUUAGGGUGCAUAAAGCAAUUUAAAUUUUAUGGCAUUUCUGCUAGGAUGAGUACAGUGUAGUUAGAUAUUGGUAUAUAGGUGACAUUCUAGGGCCUUGUAAAGCUUUUAUAUAUAGAAGAAAUAGGGGGAAGGAACUCGGCAAAAAAUACACCGCCUGUUUAUCAAAAACAUGGCUUUCUGUAAAGUGAAGAUGGAAAGUCUGGCCUGCCCAGUGACGCAGUUUAAACGGCCGCGGUACCCUGACCGUGCUAAGGUAGCAUAAUCAUUUGCCUCUUAAUUAGAGGCUGGAAUGAAUGGCUUGACGAGAGUAAAGCUGUCUCCCCUCUAUUCAUUGUAAUUUGACCUGUGGGUGCAGAGCCCCACAUAUAACUGUAGGACGAGAAGACCCUGUUAAGCUUUAGGGCUAUUGUUGGAGAAAAAAAUAUUGUAUAGAUUUUUCGUUUUCCGCUGUGACUUUGGUUGGGGCGACCGCGGAACAAGGAAAACUUCCGCUAAUAAGAUGAAUUGAAGGCAGGCAUGCGGAGAUCCGUGAAAACGAUUAAAGGAAUUAGUUACUACAGGGAUAACAGCAUAAUUUCCCUUGAGAGUUCCAAUCGAAAGGGGGGUUUGUGACCUCGAUGUUGGACUAGGGUGUCCUGAAGGUGCAGAAGCUUUCGAAGGUUGGUUUGUUCGACCAUUAAAACCCUACGUGAU